AUUGAACGCUGGCGGCAUGCCUUACACAUGCAAGUCGAACGGCAGCACGGGGCAACCUGGUGGCGAGUGGCGAACGGGUGAGUAAUGCAUCGGAACGUACCUUUCAGUGGGGGAUAACGUAGCGAAAGUUACGCUAAUACCGCAUAUUCUGUGAGCAGGAAAGCAGGGGAUCGCAAGACCUUGCGCUGACUGAGCGGCCGAUGUCAGAUUGGCUAGUUGGUGAGGUAAAGGCUCACCAAGGCGACGAUCUGUAGCGGGUCUGAGAGGAUGAUCCGCCACACUGGAACUGAGACACGGUCCAGACUCCUACGGGAGGCAGCAGUGGGGAACUUUGGACAAUGGGGGCAACCCUGAUCCAGCCAUGCCGCGUGAGUGAAGAAGGCCUUCGGGUUGUAAAGCUCUUUCGGCCGGGAAGAAAUCGCACGGGCUAAUACCCUGUGUGGAUGACGGUACCGGAAUAAGAAGCACCGGCUAACUACGUGCCAGCCGCCGCGGUAAUAC
rnacentral:rRNA from 1 species